AACGAACGCUGGCGGCAGGCUUAACACAUGCAAGUCGAGCGCCCCGCAAGGGGAGCGGCAGACGGGUGAGUAACACGUGGGGAUCUGCCCAAUGGUACGGAAUAGCUCCGGGAAACUGGAAUUAAUACCGUAUGUGCCCGCAAGGGGAAAGAUUUAUCGCCAUUGGAUGAACCCGCGUCGGAUUAGCUAGUUGGUGUGGUAAAGGCGCACCAAGGCGACGAUCCGUAGCUGGUCUGAGAGGAUGACCAGCCACACUGGGACUGAGACACGGCCCAGACUCCUACGGGAGGCAGCAGUGGGGAAUAUUGGACAAUGGGCGCAAGCCUGAUCCAGCCAUGCCGCGUGAGUGAUGAAGGCCUUAGGGUUGUAAAGCUCUUUCGCCGACGAAGAUAAUGACGGUAGUCGG
rnacentral:rRNA from 1 species